rnacentral:rRNA from 1 species
UGACGGUACCUGACUAAGAAGCCCCGGCUAACUACGUGCCAGCAGCCGCGGUAAUACGUAGGGGGCAAGCGUUAUCCGGAUUUACUGGGUGUAAAGGGAGCGUAGGCGGCCAUGCAAGUCAGAAGUGAAAACCCGGGGCUCAACUCCGCGGACUGCUUUUGAAACUGUAAGGCUGGAUUUCUGGAGAGGUAAGCGGAAUUCCUAGUGUAGCGGUGAAAUGCGUAGAUAUUAGGAGGAACACCAGUGGCGAAGGCGGCUUACUGGACAGACAAUGACGCUGAGGCUCGAAAGCGUGGGGAGCAAACAGGAUUAGAUACCCUG